CAAACGACUCUCGGCAACGGAUAUCUCGGCUCACGCAUCGAUGAAGAACGUAGCAAAAUGCGAUACUUGGUGUGAAUUGCAGAAUCCCGUGAACCAUCGAGUUUUUGAACGCAAGUUGCGCCCGAAGCCAUUCGGUUGAGGGCACGUCUGCCUGGGCGUCACACA
rnacentral:rRNA from 1 species